rnacentral:lncRNA from 1 species
GAGCAAUGUAUUUCUGAGUCAGUAUCUUUUAAUCUACCCUUAUGUCAGAUUAUGCGGCAAAGCUGAAAACUAUAAAAAUUAUCAUUGAGCAAGUGCAAUGGAUUGAAUGUUUAUGUGCCCUUAAAAUUUAAAUGUUAAAAUCUUAACAGCCCUGGUGAUGGUAUUAGGAGGUGGGUCCUUUGGGGGUGAUUAGACUAUGAGGGCAGAGCCCUUAUGAAUGUGAUUAGUGCCCUUAUAAAAGAGACUCCAGGGAGAUUCUUCACCCCUUCUGCCAUGAGAGGACACAGCAAAAAGGCGACUAUGAAUUCAGAAUAGGCCCUCAUCAGACAUAGAAUCUGUUGGCACCUUGAUCUGGGACUUCCCGCUCUCUGGAACGAGAUGACAUACAUGUUUUCUGUCCAGAAACAUUUCUUUAAAAGCUGGAGAAUCUAUAAAUGUGAGCCGCAUUUGGAGUACGUCACCAACCACUUCAUCUUUGUGGUGCUGUAACGUUGUGAAAGCUGCCAUGUGAAAGCCAAGAAUUUGCUCCAGCAACUGUUCUUCUAUAUACUUUUCUGCCAAAGAAAUAUAUUCGUUAAAAAUAGGUUAUCACUCAUUCAUGUGUGGACUCUUUAUUGAGGGGGUUUCAUGUGCUUCGUCCUGGGCUGUGAGAUAGCCUGCAGCCUUGUCUUCAGGAGCUCAGAGUACCAUGCGGGACGGGAGACAGAUGAAUCACCCCAGGGGUUGCAUGCAGCCAUCUCUAGAACAUCAAAUGGUCUCUCUUCAACUGGAAUGAUAAGAGCUGAAAGAAAUGUGCAACCAUGAGGACACCGUAACCUAUGAAUGAUGUGCUGAGACUGGAAACCCAAAAUGAUGGUAACUGAGAGUGACACUAAAGCCCUAAGUUUUGGUCACACACACACCUAAGUGAGAACCUGACCAAGAAGGGGGAAUUUUUAAAACAAAAUUCUGGGAGGCCAUUGUUUUCAACUAAGCUCAUGCACUCAUGCCCUGGACCCCAACAGACCAAACCAAAUCCAGAUGGAGUUGUUUGUGCUCAGACUUUACAGAAAUGCAUGGAUUCUACAACAGACAAGCUUUUGUUUUUUUUCUUCUGCAAAUCUCUAUGGCAAACAUUUCUGACAACAUAGGUAUCCACCCCCUGAAGUUCCCAUUAAAUCUUUUAACCAAAUUCAUUUCCUCUCGCCUGGAGACCGUCAAGCUUCAGAUGAUGAUGCAACAAAGGUUCCAGCCAGUUCCAGGUGAAGACACCACCCUUGGACAUCAAGAUGCUACCCUGUCUCCACUAGAUAGAGCAGGGAAAGUUCUGUGAUUCCCCAAUAGGUAGGGACUAUGCCCCAAGCCAGCAUGAAGCAGUUACUGAAAAAGAUCAUCGGUCCCUCUGCCUCCCAUAAAGAUUUAUGGGAUCACAUCUCUCAGGGAGAUGAGGCAGGAAAAUAGGGUCUGGAGGCAGGAAACUUAAGGACAAUUCACACUUCAGCUAUGACAGGAAAUAUCUUCUCCAUAGGGCACAGGCCAAGUAAAUGACUUUGCAACUUUACUUCAUCCUCUUCAUUUAUAUACUGUGCACCCCAAUCCUCUGUAGGAUAUUGAAACCCCAAAAUUCUAAAUAAUGGGGCCUUUGAGCCCCCAUGCUCAGACCCACUCCCACAUGGUGGAGUGUACUUUCCUUUACAAUAAAACCCUUCAUUUCUUCCU